rnacentral:rRNA from 1 species
CGCCUCUUGAACCUAAUAGGAGGUCCAGCCUGCCCAGUGACUCUGUUCAACGGCCGCGGUAUCCUAACCGUGCGAAGGUAGCGUAAUCACUUGUUCUUUAAAUGAGGACUAGUAUGAACGGCACCACGAAGGUUAUACUGUCUCCUUUUUUUGAUCAGUGAAACUAAUCUCCCCGUGAAGAAGCGGGGAUAAACCUAUAAGACGAGAAGACCCUAUGGAGCUUUAAACAACAUAACACUUACCUCAUAAUAUAAAAAUUUCCGAACAUAAAUUUGCCAGGUAAGAUGACUAUUAGUUUUCGGUUGGGGUGACCACGGAGUAAAACGCAACCUCCACGUUGAAAGAAUAUUAUUCUAAACUAAGACCUACUAAUCAAGGUAUCAAUAUUUUGACAUCAAUUGACCCAAUACUUUUGAACAACGAACCAAGUUACCCUAGGGAUAACAGCGCAAUCCACUUUAAGAGCCCCUAUCGACAAGUGGGUUUACGACCUCGAUGUUGGAUCAGGGUCUCCAAGUGGUGCAGCCGCUACUAAAGGUUCGUUUGUUCAACGAUUAAAACCCUACG